CGGGUUAUAGCGCAGCUUGGUAGCGCAUCCGUCUGGGGGGCGGAAGGUCGCAGGUUCAAAUCCUGCUAACCCGACCA
rnacentral:tRNA from 1 species